rnacentral:rRNA from 1 species
GUCUUAAUUGGGCGUUAAGUUGCAGGGUAUAGACCCGAAACCCGGUGAUCUAGCCAUGGGCAGGUUGAAGGUUGGGUAACACUAACUGGAGGACCGAACCGACUAAUGUUGAAAAAUUAGCGGAUGACCUGUGGCUGGGGGUGAAAGGCCAAUCAAACCGGGAGAUAGCUGGUUCUCCCCGAAAGCUAUUUAGGUAGCGCCUCGUGAAUUCAUCUCCGGGGGUAGAGCACUGUUUCGGCUAGGGGGCCAUCCCGGCUUACCAACCCGAUGCAAACUGCGAAUACCGGAGAAUGUUAUCACGGGAGACACACGGCGGGUGCUAACGUCCGUCGUGAAGAGGGAAACAACCCAGACCGCCAGCUAAGGUCCCAAAGUCAUGGUUAAGUGGGAAACGAUGUGGGAAGGCCCAGACAGCCAGGAUGUUGGCUUAGAAGCAGCCAUCAUUUAAAGAAAGCGUAAUAGCUCACUGGUCGAGUCGGCCUGCGCGGAAGAUGUAACGGGGCUAAACCAUGCACCGAAGCUGCGGCAGCGACACUGUGUGUUGUUGGGUAGGGGAGCGUUCUGUAAGCCUGCGAAGGUGGCCUGUGAGGG